rnacentral:rRNA from 1 species
GACGAACGCUGGCGGCGUGCUUAACACAUGCAAGUCGAGCGGUAAGGCCCUUUCGGGGGUACACGAGCGGCGAACGGGUGAGUAACACGUGGGUGACCUGCCCUCAGCUCUGGGAUAAGCCUGGGAAACUGGGUCUAAUACCGGAUAUGACUCCAUGACGCAUGUUGUGGGGUGGAAAGCCUUGUGCGGCUGAGGAUGGGCCCGCGGCCUAUCAGCUUGUUGGUGGGGUGAGGCCCUACCAAGGCGACGACGGGUAGCCGGCCUGAGAGGGCGACCGGCCACACUGGGACUGAGACACGGCCCAGACUCCUACGGGAGGCAGCAGUGGGGAAUCUUGCGCAAUGGGCGAAAGCCUGACGCAGCGACGCCGCGUGA